rnacentral:rRNA from 1 species
UACGAAGGGGGCUAGCGUUGUUCGGAAUUACUGGGCGUAAAGCGCACGUAGGCGGAUUUGUAAGUCAGGGGUGAAAUCCCGGGGCUCAACCUCGGAACUGCCUUUGAUACUGCAAGUCUCGAGUCCGGAAGAGGUGGGUGGAAUUCCUAGUGUAGAGGUGAAAUUCGUAGAUAUUAGGAAGAACACCAGUGGCGAAGGCGGCCCACUGGUCCGGUACUGACGCUGAGGUGCGAAAGCGUGGGGAGCAAACAGG